rnacentral:rRNA from 1 species
CACGUAGGGGGCAAGCGUUGUCCGGAUUUAUUGGGCGUAAAGAGCGUGUAGGCGGCCAGGUAGGUCCGUUGUGAAAACUCGAGGCUCAACCUCGAGACGUCGAUGGAAACCAUCUGGCUAGAGUCCGGAAGAGGAGAGUGGAAUUCCUGGUGUAGCGGUGAAAUGCGCAGAUAUCAGGAAGAACACCCGUGGCGAAGGCGGCUCUCUGGGACGGUACUGACGCUGAGACGCGAAAAGCGUGGGGAGCGAACAGG